UACGGAGGAUCCAAGCGUUAUCCGGAUUUAUUGGGUUUAAAGGGUGCGUAGGCGGGAAAGUAAGUCAGUGGUGAAAGCCUGUCGCUUAACGACAGAACUGCCAUUGAUACUGCUAUCCUAGAGUUCGUUUGAAGUGGGCGGAAUGUGCAGUGUAGCGGUGAAAUGCUUAGAUAUUGCACAGAACACCGAUUGCGAAGGCAGCUCACUAAACCGAUACUGACGCUGAGGCACGAAAGCGUGGGGAUCAAACAGG
rnacentral:rRNA from 2 species